rnacentral:rRNA from 1 species
AUACGUAGGGGGCGAGCGUUGUCCGGAAUGAUUGGGCGUAAAGGGCGCGUAGGCGGCCCGGUAAGUCUGGAGUGAAAGUCCUGUUUUUAAGAUGGGAAUUGCUUUGGAUACUGUCGGGCUUGAGUGCAGGAGAGGUAAGUGGAAUUCCCAGUGUAGCGGUGAAAUGCGUAGAGAUUGGGAGGAACACCAGUGGCGAAGGCGACUUACUGGACUGUAACUGACGCUGAGGCGCGAAAGUGUGGGGAGCAAACAGGAUUAGAUACCCUGGUAGUCCACACUGUAAACGAUGAAUGCUAGGUGUGGGGGGUAGCGACCCCUUCUGUGCCGCAGUCAACACAAUAAGCAUUCCGCCUGGGGAGUACGGCCGCAAGGUUGAAACUCAAAUGAAUUGACGGGG